ACUCCGGGGCGGCGGGAAGGGAAAAAAAAAAAAAAAAAAAGAACUCAGGAGGCGGCCACUGCAGCCACAGGUGCAGGUAGAAAGUUCACGUUCCCGCCCUCCAGGGACGAGAUUGGACCAGGUCGCAUACGUGGCGCCAGCCUUGGGGUGUCUGAUUGGAGAAAGGCUCCGUGUGCGCCGCUCCGGAGCCGGACUCCUGGAAGAAAAAACGGAGGCCGGGCGAUCAAGGCUGCAGGUGGGCGCUGGUGGACAAAAGUCGUCGCAGUUCUCCCUCUGCCCCUUCCCCAAUUUCUUUUUUCUUUUACUCUCCAGUUCCCCGGCUGUGGCCACUCAGCUCCUGGAAUCUCAAGUUUUGUAAUUCUCAGGAGCCGUUCCAUAACCAGGCAAAAGAUUGCAGAGCUGCAGGCGCCCUGGGUUGAAAGGCUGUAACAUUAACAAGUUCGUUAUGUGCUAGCCAGGCGCUGUUCCAAGCGCUUUCUGUGGAUUAACUCAUUUACUCCUCCUCCCAGCAACCCUAGGAGGUAAGAACUAUGAUUAUCCUCAGUUGACAGGCGAGGAGAACUUAGCUGUGAAAGGUAAACGGUUGCCCAAGGUUACACGGCUGGUACCAGGUAGAGCUGUAUUUGUACCCCGGAGAUCUGACUCCGGCUCCCGGGGGUUUUAUCGGCACCUUAUACCAGAGCUUGGCCCUCAGUGUCGGGCUCUUAGCACGACUUAGUGAGCAUGGGAAUUACCUUUUCUCGGGUCUGGAAGUCCGUGGACCGUCACUGCACUCGAGGAGUACAAAUCCAGCCCAGAGCUGGAAUUGAAGUAAGUGAACCUGCCCAUUGCCGGUCAAGUUUCAGGAGACUUUUGUUCCUAGGAACAAAUGAGUGGUUUUUGUUACCUGGACAGAAGGGCUUUGACAUAGGGAAUUUUCACUAAUAAAGGCAGAGGUGCAACCGGCUUCAUCUUCCAGGAUGCAUUUCUUUUUCAAAGAACUGUUUUGCUGCUCCCUAAGCUCAGUGUGUAACUUUUCUGAAGGACUGAAGCAACUGACAUCCCAGCAUGUUGGUUCUGAGGACUUGCCGAAGGGGUGAAAGUAGUGGAAGACAUGAUACCUAGGUAUUCCAUAACUUAAAAUUUGGAAUUAAUAGAAAUUCUUAUAGAUGGUUUCAAUUUAUGAAAUAAGAGAGAAAACUUACAAUCACAUCACCAGAAUGGAACAAAGAUAAGCCACCAACUGUGAGAGGAGGACAGGACAAGUUGUCAUAGUCCCAUUCUGUUACAGAGAAGACACUGCACCAAGGAGGAAGGCACAGUCUGAGGAACCCUCGCUGCUGGAAAGUGGUAGAGCUGGGUUGCUACGUUGUUUGUUGAUCAAAUGGGUGAAGGGGAAAAAAAAAAAAAACAUUUAGGAAAAGAAAAUGAGUCCUGCCAAAUGGCUCCUCAUCUAGCACGACUGAACAGAGGGCCAGCAUUUUCUUAAUAGAUCAACAUCCAGCUGCUGAAAUUUAAAAAUUUCAGUCUCUUCUUACAUCACUCCCAUUUGUGUUUAACAACUUUUGGAAUAUUUCUAUGUUUCAUUGGUUUGAUAACACUUUGCACAUAACCCUUGAGUGCAGUAAAAACAUUAAAAUGGAGACCUGAGAACUAAGAAGAAAUGACGUAGAAGGAACUAGGGAGAUGGAGAAUGGGUGAUCACUCCAGGCAGAGGGAAGAGCACACACAAAAACUGUGAGCUGUGAAGGAGCUUAGGAUUUUUAAGGAGUGAAGAGGCCAGUGUGACCUGAGUGCAAAGUGAGCGAAGCACUGCAAGAGACAAAGCUAGAAAGGUGGGUGUGAGCAGACCAUUCAGGACCUUGUCACUUGUAGGCUUUUUGAACAUAAUUCAUCAAAGGGAAAGUAACAUGGUAAGAUCUGCAUUUAAAAUAUCACUGAAGCUGUACAGAGUAGAUGGAAGAGGGGACAAGAUGGGGCUAUGGGAAAACCAGGUAGGAACUGUUGGAGUACUUCAGGUGGGAUAUUUUGAUGGCUGGUGGGAGAGUGCUGGAAGUGUGGAUGGUGAGGAGAAUGUGUGCAUGCUCAAUCCCUCUAGUCAUGUCCCACUCUUUACAACCCCAUGGACUGUAGCCCACCAGGCUCCUCUGUCCAUUGAAUUCUCCAGGUAAGAAUACUGGAGUGGGUUGCCAUUUCCUCCUCCAGGGGAUCAUCUCCUGUGUCUCCUGCAUUGGCAGGCAGAUUCUUUUACCACUAAGGAAAAUGAGAUUUAUGCCAAAGAGAUUUAGGAGGUAAAAUCAACAGGACACUCUUUCAUUCAGUUCAUACAAAAGAGGAGCCUGAGUUUAAUUAGAGGCUUAAAGAAGAGAUACUUUUACAGACUUCUUGUAACUAGGAGCACACACAUGAUUCAGUUCUGACUUCAGGGGCUAUAAGGAAGACUUCUGGAAAUGCUCCUUCCUGAAUGGAGGACAGAGCCUUCUGACAGAAAAACAUCUUUUGGAGUAUCCUUGAUUCUUGAGUUGCAGCACAGCGUGAGAGUGCAGCUGCCGUCUCUCAGUGAGGCAGCAGACAUGGGAAUAAAGCCCGGCAUACUAAGGGACGACGUGGGAGUGGGACAAAUAGAACAAGUAUUUUCUGUGAUACAGGAGGAAACCAAAACAAUUGGUUUGGUGCCCAAUUGUUUCCAACAGGAGAAUUCAGCCAAAUAACCUGGCAUGCUACUGACAGGACUGGAGCAACCCUGAGAGAGAGAUUAUAAGUUCUACAGUUUUAUCUUAGAAAGUUGAAGCAGUUUGUUCAAGGUCACAAGAGCAUAAGAGAAAGAUACCUAAUGAUUAAAUCAAACCAAGCAGAAGUUUUCUGUAAGAAUGCUGUUCAUCCUUUCAGCUCUGCAAGUGUGUUACCUGUUGUGAAAGGAGGAAGUGUGCUCCGUUAAGCUUGAAAGCAAUGUUACCAGAAAAGGAUUAGCAAAUCACAAGGCAGAAUCCUUAGCAGUAAAGCCCCUACUGAACUGUGACUGAGGCACAAGCCAAGGAAUAUGUUUAAUGUGUGCUGCCCCAUUAGUUCCUGGAAUCUUAGUAUACAACCCACACCACUGAAUCAGACCCAGAAGAGGGAAACAACAGGAGGAUCAUGGCUCUGCUAUGCAGACAUAGCACUAUUGUUUCCAGAAAUUAGUUUUUAUUUUAUUAAAGUAAUACUGGAGAAGACUCUUGAGAGUCCCUUGGACUGCAAGGAAAUCCAACCAGUCCAUCCUAAAGGAGAUCAGUCCUGGGUGUUCUUUGGAAGGACUGAUG